rnacentral:rRNA from 2 species
UACAGAGGUCUCGAGCGUUGUUCGGAUUCAUUGGGCGUAAAGGGUGCGUAGGCGGCGGGGUAAGUCAGGUGUGAAAUCCCGGAGCUCAACUCCGGAACUGCACUUGAUACUGCCUUGCUAGAGUACUGGAGAGGGAACUGGAAUUUACGGUGUAGCAGUGAAAUGCGUAGAUAUCGUAAGGAAGACCAGUGGCGAAGGCGAGUUCCUGGACAGUUACUGACGCUGAGGCACGAAGGCCAGGGGAGCAAACGGG